AACGAACGUUGGCGGCGUGGAUUAGGCAUGCAAGUCGAACGAAUCCCCUUUGGGUAACUGAGGGGGGGAAGUGGCGAAAGGGGCAGUAAGGCGUGGGUAACCUACCCCGGGGACCGGGAUAGCCUUCCUAACGGAUGGGUAAUACCGGGCGAGCUGACGGAGGGGCAUCUCUCUGUCAGGAAAGGAGUUUCGCCUCGGGAGGGGCUCACGUGCUAUUAGCUAGACGGCGGGGUAACGGCCCACCGUGGCAAAGAUGGCUAGCGGGUAUGAGAGUACGACCCGCGCCACUGGCACUGAGACACUGGCCAGACACCUACGGGUGGCUGCAGUCGAGGAUCUUCGGCAAUGGGCGCAAGCCUGACCGAGCGACGCCGCGUGCGCGAUGAAGGCCUUCGGGUUGUAAAGCGCUGUCGAGGGGGAGGAAGACCCGCAAGGGUUUGACCUAUCCCUGGAGGAAGGACGGGCUAAGUUCGUGCCAGCAGCCGCCGUAACAC
rnacentral:rRNA from 1 species